UACGUAGGGUGCGAGCGUUGUCCGGAAUUAUUGGGCGUAAAGAGCUUGUAGGCGGUUUGUCGCGUCUGCCGUGAAAUUUCGGGGCUCAACCCCGAGCUUGCGGUGGGUACGGGCAGACUAGAGUGUGGUAGGGGAGACUGGAAUUCCUGGUGUAGCGGUGAAAUGCGCAGAUAUCAGGAGGAACACCGAUGGCGAAGGCAGGUCUCUGGGCCACUACUGACGCUGAGAAGCGAAAGCAUGGGGAGCAAACAGG
rnacentral:rRNA from 1 species